rnacentral:snoRNA from 1 species
CCAAGUGAUGAUCAACUAUAUUCACACUGUGUGAUGCCCAGUUUAAUUACUGGUUCGAUGAUCACAACCAAAUAGAAAACUGAUUUAAUGACUCUGAAU